UAGGGAAUCUUCGGCAAUGGACGGAAGUCUGACCGAGCAACGCCGCGUGAGUGAAGAAGGUUUUUCGGAUCGUAAAGCUCUGUUGUAAGAGAAGAACGAGUGUGAGAGUGGAAAGUUCACACUGUGACGGUAUCUUACCAGAAAGGGACGGCUAACUACGUGCCAGCAGCCGCGGUAAUACGUAGGUCCCGAGCGUUGUCCGGAUUUAUUGGGCGUAAAGCGAGCGCAGGCGGUUAGAUAAGUCUGAAGUUAAAGGCUGUGGCUUAACCAUAGUAGGCUUUGGAAACUGUUUAACUUGAGUGCAAGAGGGGAGAGUGGAAUUCCAUGUGUAGCGGUGAAAUGCGUAGAUAUAUGGAGGAACACCGGUGGCGAAAGCGGCUCUCUGGCUUGUAACUGACGCUGAGGCUCGAAAGCGUGGGGAGCAAACAGGAUUAGAUACCCUGGUAGUCCACGCUGUAAACGAUGAGUGCUAGGUGUUAGACCCUUUCCGGGGUUUAGUGCCGUAGCUAACGCAUUAAGCACUCCGCCUGGGGAGUACGACCGCAAGGUUG
rnacentral:rRNA from 1 species